GUGCUCGCUUCAGCAGUACACAUACUAAGAUUGGAACAAUACAGAGAAGACUAGCAUAGUCGCUGCAUGAGGAUGACGCACAAAUUCAUGAAGCAUUCCAUAUUUUU